GCCUUCGUGGUGUAAUGGUUAGCACACUGAGCCGGUAUUUCAGAGGUCCGUGGUUCGAUUCCCGGCGAAGGCA
rnacentral:tRNA from 1 species